rnacentral:rRNA from 1 species
CCCAGACUCCUACGGGAGGCAGCAGUGGGGAAUAUUGCACAAUGGGGGAAACCCUGAUGCAGCAACGCCGCGUGAGUGAAGAAGUAUUUCGGUAUGUAAAGCUCUAUCAGCAGGGAAGAAGAAGGACGGUACCUGACUAAGAAGCCCCGGCUAACUACGUGCCAGCAGCCGCGGUAAUACGUAGGGGGCGAGCGUUAUCCGGAUUUACUGGGUGUAAAGGGAGCGUAGACGGUUAAUCAAGUCUGAAGUGAAACCCCAAGGCGCAACCAUGGGCAUGCUUUGGAAACUGUGUAGCUAGAGUGCAGGAGAGGCAGGCGGAAUUCCUAGUGUAGCGGUGAAAUGCGUAGAUAUUAGGAGGAACACCAGUGGCGAAGGCGGCCUGCUGGACUGAAACUGACGUUGAGGCUCGAAGGCGUGGGGAGCAAACAGGAUUAGAUACCCGCGUA